CAGUCGCCACGGUAAUACGUAGGUGGCAAGCGUUGUCCGGAAUUAUUGGGCGUAAAGGGCUCGCAGGCGGUUUCUUAAGUCUGAUGUGAAAGCCCCCGGCUCAACCGGGGAGGGUCAUUGGAAACUGGGAAACUUGAGUGCAGAAGAGGAGAGUGGAAUUCCACGUGUAGCGGUGAAAUGCGUAGAGAUGUGGAGGAACACCAGUGGCGAAGGCGUCUCUCUGGUCUGUAACUGACGCUGAGGAGCGAAAGCGUGGGGAGCGAACAGGAUUAGAUACCCGGGUAGUCCCUGUCUCUUAUAC
rnacentral:rRNA from 1 species